GUACGUAUACGUUUUUGUUGUGUGUGUUGCUGAGUGGUAGCGCGCGUCCAUGUGCAUUUCUUCGGCGGCAUGUUCGCGUACGUUCGUUUCCGCGACGACAACGAAAAGCGAAUCGUCCCAGUGGCUGCAUGUAAACACCUCAAGCCGAACGAUACGAGCGAUUUUAAUCCUCGCAAAUGGUACAAAGUCUUCUGGAAAGAUGAAACACACUGCGACCACUACCACGUGCGCUCAAGUGAUUAGGCUUUACGCUACCGAGGACGAUGCAAGGAAGGCUACCGAAAAACGAACUUCCAUUCCGCAAAGACCUGGCAGCGACUCCUCCUAUAGCUGCAGUUCAAAUGAAGUGGAUGGAUCGUUUGAAGAAGAAACGCAGCGUCAAGCUGCUGUUAAACAGAAAAUGAAGGAUGUGAGCAGCCAUUUUAAGAAGCAGCAGCGAGACCUCCUGUUUGGUGAUGCUGAGGGAGGAAAAAAGACCGAGAAAGAACUUCUCAAAGAAGAAGUGAAUAUGCUGAAGGCCGAAAAUUCAAAACUCUUGGACCGAAUAAGAAUGCUCGAAAAGGCCCUAUGCAGCAAAAUUUUCAAAACAGAAAAAAAACCUCGUUCUGUGCGAGGGCUGCAGCCGCAAGCCAGAACAACAAGUUGCGCCUUUGCCAUCGCCAUGUGCUGCCACGGUGCAGCUGCCACGCACCACCACCAUGCAGCCGCCGCGCACCGCUACCGUGCAGCCACUGCGUACCACCACAGCGAUCCCGGGCAGCCCUGAAGUGGCCCACACAAGUGCGAGGGAGGCCGAUUACGUGCCCACUGACGGAGAGGUAUUGUAAAACUCUAGUGUGCUUUGUCUUAAAGGUAUAAUGCUUUGCUGUAAUGAGAAAAUGUGCAUUGACAUAUUGUUGUGUGCACAUCAUCUUUAACUUGUUUUAUAGGUGCAUCUGGGCAAAGGGAUCACCAUUCCUGAGGGCCUGUACAGCCGCCUCAUGAGCACAAAAAGCGAAACCCGCUUUGUUCGUGAGGCGGCCAUUGCCAUUUAUUCAACGGCAGGCUUGGUUGGGUGGAGUGUAAUUGGAACAGCCUCUAACCGGACAAAGGGAGAGGCAAAACCUCCCUUGGAUAAAGAAAAAUACGCUGUGCUUUCUGAUUUCUUCAACCAUUUCUUGAAAAGCAAUUUUCCAAUUGGAGAGGUCGAGCAAAAGAAGAAGAUACUAAAUAAGGCGCUCGCAAACAAAAUUAACGAUUUGAUGAAAUCAAAAGAUUCAGAAGUCAAUGGAACAUCAAAUAAAAGAUUUUGUUUGAUUUCUGUGUUCA
rnacentral:misc_RNA from 1 species